rnacentral:rRNA from 1 species
CGCUGACGACCGGCGCACGGGUGCGCAACGCGUAUACAAUCUACCUUAUGCUGAGGGAUAGCCCAGAGAAAUUUGGAUUAAGACCUCAUGGUAUCGAGAGACGGCAUCGUUUUUUGAUUAAAGGUUACGGCAUAAGAUGAGUAUGCGUCCCAUUAGCUAGUUGGUGUGGUAACGGCACACCAAGGCUACGAUGGGUAGGGGUCCUGAGAGGGAGAUCCCCCACACUGGUACUGAGACACGGACCAGACUCCUACGGGAGGCAGCAGUGAGGAAUAUUGGACAAUGGACGGAAGUCUGAUCCAGCCAUGCCGCGUGCAGGAAGACGGUCCUAUGGAUUGUAAACUGCUUUUAUACGGGAAGAAUAAGGGCUACGUGUAGCCCGGUGACGGUACCGUAAGAAUAAGGAUCGGCUAACUCCGUGCCAGCAGCCGCGGUAAUACGGAGGAUCCAAGCGUUAUCCGGAAUCAUUGGGUUUAAAGGGUCCGUAGGCGGACUAUUAAGUCAGGGGUGAAAGUCUGCAGCUCAACUGUAGAAUUGCCUUUGAUACUGGUAGUCUUGAGUUAUGGUGAAGUGGCUAGAAUAUGUAGUGUAGCGGUGAAAUGCAUAGAUAUUACAUAGAAUACCGAUUGCGAAGGCAGGUCACUAACCAUAUACUGACGCUGAUGGACGAAAGCGUGGGGAGCGAACAGGAUUAGAUACCCUGGUAGUCCACGCCGUAAACGAUGGAUACUAGCUGUUCGGACUUCGGUCUGAGCGGCCAAGCGAAAGUGAUAAGUAUC